GCAUUUGUCCUUCGGCAUCUCACGCACCACUCUCCAAACCUCCUCCUCCGUGAAGUCAACCUCCAAAUCAGCAAGAUUAUGAUUUGCGACACAAAGGAAAUCAAGAUCAAAUCCAGCAUGUCUCUCCGUGGCCGAGCCGAGCAGCGAAGAGUAGAAGCAGUCAGCAGCAUCAGCCUUGGCCUCGUGUUCAGUCACCAGAUUCCCAUCCACAAGCAGCUGAGCAAUAAAAUCCUUUCUCUUGCGAUGACUAGC
rnacentral:lncRNA from 1 species